AGCCUGCCCAAUCAGGAGUGCCCGCCGGGCUCAUAACCCGGAGGUCGCUAGUUCAAAUCUAGCCCCCGCUA
rnacentral:tRNA from 1 species